CCUACGGGAGGCUGCAGUGGGGAAUAUUGGACAAUGGGGGGAACCCUGAUCCAGCCAUGCCGCGUGUGUGAAGAAGGCCCUCGGGUUGUAAAGCACUUUCAGUGAGGAAGAACGCCUGGUGGUUAAUACCCAUCAGGAAAGACAUCACUCACAGAAGAAGCACCGGCUAACUCCGUGCCAGCAGCCGCGGUAAUACGGAGGGUGCGAGCGUUAAUCGGAAUUACUGGGCGUAAAGCGCGCGUAGGUGGCUUGAUAAGCCGGUUGUGAAAGCCCCGGGCUCAACCUGGGAACGGCAUCCGGAACUGUCAAUCUAGAGUGCAGGAGAGGAAGGUAGAAUUCCCGGUGUAGCGGUGAAAUGCGUAGAGAUCGGGAGGAAUACCAGUGGCGAAGGCGGCCUUCUGGACUGACACUGACACUGAGGUGCGAAAGCGUGGGUAGCAAACAGGAUUAGAUACCCUAGUAGUC
rnacentral:rRNA from 1 species